rnacentral:rRNA from 1 species
UACGAGGGGGGCAAGCGUUGUCCGGAUUUAUUGGGCGUAAAGAGCUCGUAGGCGGCUUGUCGCGUCGACUGUGAAAUCCCGCGGCUCAACUGCGGGUCUGCAGUCGAUACGGGCAGGCUAGAGUUCGGUAGGGGAGACUGGAAUUCCUGGUGUAGCGGUGAAAUGCGCAGAUAUCAGGAGGAACACCGAUGGCGAAGGCAGGUCUCUGGGCCGAUACUGACGCUGAGGAGCGAAAGCGUGGGGAGCGAACAGG